AUAUUUUAAAGAAAAGAAAAAUAAGAAGACAUAAAUUUAUCUAACACCUCAUGUGACCACUUGUGCAUCUACCAAAAGAAGUUGAAUUUUCAAAUGGCCUAAACACCCUCUUGGCCGUGACACAUUCCUCAAGCAAUUAAUGAAAAUAUUUUUCUCCAAACAUUAGUUACCAUGUAGCUGCUUCAAAUGAGCAUUAAAAUUAUUUCUUCUUCUCGGUUCAAGCCUCAUCAAUAAGAUGAUACGCGGGGCCCAAGCCCACUUUCUUUAGUUUAGUAUUUCUUUGAUGUAUUUUGUAUUGUGUUAGGCAUGUAGGACCUCUAGUCCUAUAAAUAGUCAUGCCUACCUUAUUGUACUUCACUUUUGAGAUAAUUGAAUUGUUUACUGUUGAGAAUUACUCCAGAGCAAUUCUACCUUGAAAGUCAAGGCUAGAGAAUCCCAAAGGAUCUCCUCUAGCCACCUUCCAUCUCACACUUACCAUUCUCUCAUAUUUACACCAUCAGUUUCUCUCUCCUCCACGUAAGACCACCGUACACCACCUUCCAAUCAAUUGCUGACUCGUGGCUUCUCACUUCGACACCAGCCACAUAACCUCCAGACCGUUCCAUCACUCCACUCAACGUUAUUUUCUCAUUGCUCAUAUUACUCCAUCUGCUAGGGUUUCAUCCCAAGUUUAUCCUCUUCACAGAUCCACAUCGUUCCCAACACGGUAAGCCUCAUUUCUUCUCCGAUUCAUCAUUUCCUUACCUAUUUCUCUCAUCUUUUCUGAUUGAAAGCCUCUUUUCUCCAUUUUUACCGAUUGAUUCCCUGUCUAGCACCAUUUUCACCGUUCAAACAUCUCUUUCCACUGAUCCAAACCAUCUUCCCCGUUUAAUAUCCAUUUUACACUGAUUAAUCGGUCCAAUCGGUGUUUCGCUGUUCGAUUUAGGGUUUUCCCUUCAUUUAGGGUUUCCGUGAGUUCUACCUUGCAUUCGGUCCGAUUAGGUUCUAGAUCAUUUUCUCCUUCGAAUAUAAUCCAUUCCGCUGCGUCAUUCAUCGUUGAAGAAGCUUCGAGGAGUCCGCAUCAUCUCUCGGUCAAUCUCCUUCGAGGCUCUCCCGUAUCAACAUAUAAAAAAAAAGAUAAAUUGCCUAAGGAAAUAAAAUCAAAGUGUGUAAGGACGUGUCAACGUGUGCGCCUUUCUCUGCACCAUUGCUUCCUUCAUUUCUCUUCUGCAUGACAUGUGCUAGCUGGGAGGAGGCUUCAAUAAAAAAUUAAGCAAACAAACAAAAUAAAAGCACCAUGUUGCAUCCUCCAAGAAUUUUGCAUCGCUUCCUC
rnacentral:lncRNA from 1 species